rnacentral:rRNA from 1 species
UGGGGAAUAUUGCACAAUGGGCGCAAGCCUGAUGCAGCAACGCCGCGUGAACGAUGAAGGUCUUCGGAUCGUAAAGUUCUGUUGCAGGGGAAGAUAAUGACGGUACCCUGUGAGGAAGCCCCGGCUAACUACGUGCCAGCAGCCGCGGUAAUACGUAGGGGGCUAGCGUUAUCCGGAUUUACUGGGCGUAAAGGGUGCGUAGGUGGUCUUUCAAGUCGGUGGUUAAAUGCUACGGCUCAACCGUAGUUAGCCUCCGAAACUGGAAGACUUGAGUGCAGGAGAGGAAAGUGGAAUUCCCAGUGUAGCGGUGAAAUGCGUAGAUAUUGGGAGGAACACCAGUAGCGAAGGCGGCUUUCUGGACUGCAACUGACACUGAGGCACGAAAGCGUGGGUAGCAAACAGG